UAGAAAAAUGUUCAGAGAUCUACAAGAAUGACCCCAACUAACAUCUAAGCAAUAGUGGAGAGGUCACCUUAAAUACCCUUCCAAGAUGAGAUUGAUGUCUACCUUAUAUGCCAUCUUAAAACCUUCAUACAAUGGUUGAUCAAAGAAGAAGUAGACACCCACAGCAAAACACUGAGCUGAACUCUUAGAAUCUAGUUGCAGAGAGGGAGGAGUAAUGAGCGGUCAGUACUAAGCUGGGGAAAUCCACAGAAACAGCUGAUCUGAACAAGGGGGAGCUCAAGGACCCCAGCCUGAUGGGUAACCAGCAUAAGGCCCAGACCACCUGAUUGUGGGUGUCAGUUAGGAGGCUUGGGCAAUCUAUGGGGCUUCUGGCAGUGGUUCAGUAUUUAUCCCUAGUAUAUGAGUGGACUUUGUGAGCCCAUUUCACAUAAAGGGAUACUAUCUCAUCCUAGACACACAUGGGAGGGUCUAGGCCCUGCUCCAAAUGAUGUGACAGACUUUGAAGAUACCCCAUGGAAGGCCUCACCCUCCCUGGGGAGCAGAAACUGGAUGGGAUAGGGGGUUGUUGGUGGGCAGGGGAGUUAAGGGAGGGAUAGAGAAAUGGGAAUGACAUGUAAAUCAUGCUUGUUUUUAAUUUAAAUUUUAAAAAAAUGAAAAAACAAAGAAGUAGCCUAUUUAAAAACAGCUGGGAAAAAUUUAAGUUUUUCUUUUACAAUAGGUAAAAAUAUCUUACAUUUCUCUUUUCUAGUUUACAUCAAACAGUAUGUUUCAUUUAAUGUGCAAAUCUAUGCACAACUUGUCAUGCUAUUAACAUUAUCAGUAUAGGCAUUGCUAUCAUAAUAUCUUACAUUAAGUAUUAUAGUAUCAAGGUUCUUUCUAUACAUCCUUUCCUAGUAGUGUUUGACAUCAUGCAUACUGCAUAUUUCCUUGAUAUUUUUACAUUAACACAAAACUACGAAACUUGUUUUAGAAAAUGGUGUCAAAUCUUUAGCUAUUUUAACAGCUCAAAAUAGACUAAACAAAAAUCUACUAUUUAUCACAAGAAAAAAAUUAAAGAAAAAACAAAAUAAAAGAUUUUCUCCUACAGUCUAAAUGUGUAAUUUGAUCAAAGAAAAGGACUGGAAUUUUCUGGGGCAAGGAUCUAUAUAAAAUGGGAGUUUCACUGUGAACUUUUUAUUUUAUGAAUCAUUUUUUGGCUGUAUCUUGACUAUAUAAUGUGGUUGAGCUUUUCUGCCUCUGGGCUUUAUUUAUUUAUUUAUCAUCACUCUACUGAAGGGCCAUGGAUUCUCAUCAUGCAUUUUUUAAUACUAUGGCUGAGGCAUUUUCACAUUCAGUACUAUAAUAAACAUUUUAUUAUUGAACUCAGUAUGUUCUUUCCUCUAAAGGUACCUAGAGUUAUGUGUCACUAAGAAUAAGAAUGUAUUCUUUGUGGUUCAGAAAGUUUUAUUUACUACAGUGCAAGAUGCCAGCAUUACAAAAUAAGCUAUCAUAUAAGACAUUGACAGGAAAAGUCAAUAUGCACUCAUCCAGUUUGUGCGCUAUAAUUUUUGUGUUGUUAUUCACGGUUGGGACAGGUGGGGUAUGAUAACUACAAUAUGUUUUCCUUUAAUCGGCACCUCAUUCUACUUAUACUUCAAAGGCAAUUUUAGGGUUGGUAAAUGAAAGAAAUAUAACACAAUGAAAGGCCAACUGUUUUGUUGUCAUUCUUCCAGAGUUUUAUCCCAAUGACAAUGUUGCCAUUGUUUCUUUCUAUAAUUAGUGAAUUCAUUCAUUUCUUUCUUUCUUUCUUUCUUUCUUUCUUUCUUUCUUUCUUUCUUUCUUCCUUUCUAAGGCUAUAGAGGGAUCAUGAUUGUAAUGUUCUCAGUUAUUUCUAACAUUUCUUCAAAAAUAUCUGUUCCAUGAUUUUGAGAUCUUUCAUAUUUUAUGCUUGUUAUAAGUUACAUUAAUACAUAGCCUGGGUUUAAUAUUAUAGUUUGAUGGUAAAGUGCUUUGCUUAGUAUGCCUGGAGUUCAACCUUCAUUGUGUAUGUGUGUAUGUGCACAUGUGUAAGCUUAGUAUAGCAUAUAGAGAUUGUACAUAGUUAAAAGACAAAUUGAAUAUACAUUGUAGCUGAAUAUUUAGGAGAUUGUUCUAUUUCCCAUCUAUCUUCUUUUGUUCUAAAAGUAACAAAAGUCUGGCCCUGGGUCCAUUUAGAUUUUACAUCUUCAAACUAUUUCAGACUUAAACAGCCACAGGUCAUAGAAAAUGUUUCUUUCAACUAUUGUAAUCUCAUUUUAACAUGCAGUGUUAACUAUACAAGUGUUUCUCAACCUUUCUAAUGCUUCAGCCCUUUAAUAUAGUUCUUCAUGUUGUAGUAUUCCCCAAUCAUAAAAUUACUUCGUUGCUACUUCAUAACUGUAAUUUGGCUGCUGUUAUAAAUCAUGAUGUAAAUAUCUGCUAUGCAAAUAUCUGAUAUGUGACCCCUGUGAAAGGGUCUUUCAACCUCCAAAGGGAUUUUACCCACAGUUUGAAAACCACUGAACUCUUCUAACAAAGGUUUUAUUUUCUUUAUAUUUCCAAUAAUGAAUAGAGAACAAUUUAUCCUAAAACAUUCCUUCCUCUUUGAUAGUAUGGUCACUUCACUGACAACUAGAUCCUCUAUGUAUAUUCUGUAUUCACCAAUCUGGUUUAUGUAUUUUCCUUUCCAAGGAUACUGUUUCUCUGAUGCAUAUUCCAGUGCUUCCAUGUUCAGUGCAGAGAUCUUCCCAUCUAGCUAUAUAGUCUCCUAAAUGCUGAAAUCCUCUGACAUCUUAAUCACACAUGAGGCAGGAUGAGAAGACACAACUCAUCUGGAAUGCAUAGAUAGCUUCAGAAGAGUGAGUAGCAUGGUCUUGACCCCUUUGCUCUUCACGCCUCCCUCUCUGCAACUGGAUUCCAGAGUUCAGCUCAGUGUUUAGCUGUGGGUGUCUGCUUUUGCUUCCAUCAGAUACUGGAUGAAGAUUCCAGGAUGGCAUUUUUUAAAUCAAGUAUGAGAAAGAAGCUUUUGCUUCUUACCAGCUUGUCUUCAAGUUGUACUGGCAAAUUCAUUUCCUCUAUUGACAUUUUGCCGCUGCUGUUACUGCUGCCACCACUGCCACUGCUGCUAAUGUACUUGGUUGACAUUCUAUACAGUUUCUGAAGAUUGUCAAAGUAUACUGAAGCCCAAUAGCUUUCUGGAAAUCCUCUAGCCCUUCAGUAUCAGACUGGAACUGCUAAGGAAUCAAGCCCUGUGGAUUAAGCAGUCAUCAGGUUCUUAGCUUCUCCAAUGUGUAAGAAACCAUUGUUGAACCACCUAAAUCACACUAUAUCCACGCCUCCACCUCGUCUCCCCUCAGAAAAUAGCAGGACUUGCCUUGGAUUUUCUUAUUUGAUUAUUUGCUAUGGGAAGAUCCAUUUCUAUGUGGUCCAUGCCUUCUGGUGGCAGUCUACACAAAAGGACACAAAAGAAGAAAGCAUAGAAGAAUAAGAAUAAAAAUAAGAAGAAGAAGAAGAAGAAGAAGAAGAAGAAGAAGAAGAAGAAGAAGAAGAAGAAGAAGAAGAAGGAGAAGAAGAAGGAGAAGAAGAAGAAGCAUUUGCUUUUUACCUUCUUCUCCUCAUGACACUGGUAACUUCAUCUAUCCUUAUGCUGAGGCAUUCCUUAGCUGGUAUUAGAAUCCUCUUCUUUGGGAUUCUAACACUGUCUCUAGGAAUUUUCCAGUACUCCAGCACCAGACUCAGACUGCUGUGGCAUACAGUUGCGUAGACUGAACAGCGACCUGAUUGUUGGUCUUUCUAUUGGGAAACAGCCAUUGUUGAAGCACCCAGACUACAGCUUGGAAGCCAUUCCAAUGAAUCCCCUUCGUGUGUGUGUGUGUGUGUGUGUGUGUGUGUGUGUGUGUGUGUGUUAUUGAUUCUCUCAAUUCUGUUCCUUUAGAGAACUGUGAAUACUCGGAUUGUAUUCAACAUAUACAUAAUACAUUGUCUGACAUGUGAAAGUAACAGGAAAUGUACAAUACUCUCUAUCUCUGAUACUGGCACAUGGAUGUCUGGCAUAUUUUUUGUGUUUAUGUGAUUUUGUGCACAUUCAUGUAGGAGGACAUGCAUAUAUAUAUGGGUAUGAAUACAGAGGCCAGAAGACAACUUUUAUUGUUUCUCAGAUGCCAUCCACAUUUUUUUCUUUUUCUUUUUUCAGACAGGAUCACUCAUUGACCUGGGUGGAGCUCUGCAAUAGGCUGACAGGAUGACUGGCUAGUGAAUCCUAGGGAUGCAUUUGUGGCUAACUCAUUGUUCUAUCAUCAGAAUGUAGACCAGUAUCUGUUACAUAGUAAUUAUGCCCUUCUAUAAGGGCAAUGAAUGGCACAUUUACAAGUAAAAGUUUUCAAAUCAAAUAAAUAGUAUUACUAUGAAUACUCAUGUAAAGGAUAUUAUGAAUGACUACAAGCUUUUCUGUUUUUUUUUAUUAAUAAUAUAUAUUCAAUUUUCCACUAUGUUGGUUGUCUUUUGCUUAGUGAUAGUAACAAGUAUUUCCCCGACAUGCAAUGUUUCAGGAAUUUAUCCUGUAACCUCAUUUGCAAAUUAUUUUCCAAGUAUGUCACUUGUAAUGAGAGAUCUACUACAUACUUGUGGUGCUGACCAUGCCCGUUGGGCAUGGUCACAGGUGCCUACAUGAGCAUGGAGGAUUUAUUCUGAGAUCCAGGACAGGCUCUCUCUUGCGGCUGGUCAGGUCACAGGGAACAGCCUGGGACAAUCCUUGGAGCUGGAACCCAGGGCAAUAACUCACCUCUCUGUGUAAGUGCAAUCCCCUCGAAUAAACUUCACUUAAACUGUA